rnacentral:tRNA from 1 species
GGAGGUGUGGCUCAGUGGUCAGAGUGAUUGUUUAAGAAGCCCAAGGCUCUGAGUUUAAACCCCAGUACUGCCA